UCCGAUAGUCGGUGAGAUUGCUUGGGGAUGCAUCUGCUUCUUUCGAAAAGAAUUGUGUGAGGGGAAUUCAAGCCAAUAGGGAACAGGUUUCAAAAUUACUGCAUGAGUCGCUAAUGCUUGUCACAUCUUUGAACCCUAAAAUUGGUUAUGACAACGCUGCAGCAGUUGCCAAGAAAGCCCACAAGGAUGGAAGCACUCUGAAGGAAGCUGCUCUAAAUCUUGGAGUGCUCACUAGUGAAGAGUUUGGCCAACUUGUAGUGCCGGAAAAGAUGAUUGGUCCCUCAGACUAACCAGCUUGGUAAACUUUUAGGGUUUGCAAUGAUGUAACCAUUUUUGCACCCCUUCCCUCUAUCAGUUGGAGAGUAGGAAAUAAAAAUCCAAUGGUCAUUGUGUCUUUCUGAGAAAACGAUAUUCUUGAGGUUUUAUCUGUUCGGCUCUCAUCUUUUGGAUCCUUUUCAGUGACCUGGCUGUUGAUUGGGUUAAUA